rnacentral:lncRNA from 1 species
GUUCUGUUUCUCCAACUUUGUAGCUAUGUAUUUGGUUGUUCCAAUAAUUAAUAGUAAAUCCAUCAGUUGGCAAUUACCUUGAUUCUAUAAAUAUCGGAAUGUUUUCGACCUAUACAAUAAAUUUAAUAAAUUCUUGAGACUAUUAAUAGGUGAACUUUAUUUUCGAAACUAGGAUACCCACCGAAUUAUAUUUUGAUCUUUGUGAUGCUGCAAAUCAACUAUGAAACACACAAAAACAACAUGUGCGUGUAUGUGUCUCCAGUUUAUUUUUUAGCCAAAACAUAACUUAAAUAUUUUAUUGGCGUUGAAUAGCGAUAAAUAUCUAGUAAAACAUUUGCCUAAUAAUAGAUUUUAAGUGUUUUCAAUUAAAAGUGUUGUAAAUACAAGAAACAAAUUUUUACCGACAAAAAAAAGUAUUUUAUAAUACACUCGCCUUAAAAUUAGCCUCUAUGGCCAGACGAGCGACAAUUACAGCGCUGUAACUGAAGCUCAAAAAUGGGCCCCACCCUAUGUUUCCAUGUUGCUGCGGCGAUAUUUACAGCUCAGUCUGGCUAUCCACUACACUGGGUCGCGCCAAAAUCUAUACACGCAUAACUUAACGCGCUACUUUGAUACGAGAAUUAUAAAAAAAAUAUGCAUUGAAAUCCAGAUCCCGUAAUUUUUUUAGUAUUAUAAAGUGAGUACAAAGACAUACAAAAUGUUGUUUUUGUAAUUCCACUUUCAAUUUACCCUGCACUUCUCGUAGACUAUUAUCGAUAAGGUACACAGAUCACUUAACUCUCUUUAGAUGUUUCACGCAGGUAUCUCAAGGUCAUACUAAACUAAAUGUCAUUUUUAGUAAUGAUACGUUUUUUGAGAUGUCGCCAUGCACCUUGAGUGAAGAUUUCUUCUAUAUCACUGAGUCCGAGUGUCAUUAUAAUUUGUCAAUUGUCAGUGUCAGUAUGCCUUUAUCUUUUAUCUUUAUGUCAGUAAAAAUGUUUAUCUGAUUGUUAGCAAUAAUAAAAAAUCCUGAUUUAGAUAAAAUGGAUUCAAAUACAGUUUUUGAAACAAAACGAAUGUGAUUUGAAGAUCCCUAGGAAGAUCAAAUUCCUAGCUUACAUUUGCAUGUUGAAAGUCCUCAACAAGUAGAGAUGCACACAUGUUUCAAUCAUUUGAGAUACCCUUUUGUAGAAGUAUUUGGAAGAUAACUAUUAAUAAUUUCAUUUGUAAAGAUACGAUUUGUAAAAAAGUAUAUACAAAGUGGUUUUGCUGGUAUGAAAUAAAUAAAUAAAAAUACGUUGUCAUGUCUUAUUUUUUCCCAAAUGGUAUUUUGUAUAUUUGAAAUUAAAAAUAAUUUGCAUAUUUUAAAACCAAAUUAUUUUUUUUUCAACUAUACAAAUAUUUUAACCUAACAUUUUCUUCCCACCAAAA